rnacentral:lncRNA from 1 species
AGAAAAGAAACUAACACUGAAUUUUUGGUACCAAGAAUUGAGACUGUCGCUGUGACGAACUUGAGCAUGUGUUCGCGGGCCUUUGGAACUGGUUGGCACUUGCUGGUGUAUUUAAUUAUUUACACUCUCAAGGUGUUCCAGAAGAUCUUUGAAGAUGUCAGGCGACUGAUCAGUCAUUACCUGUGAUUAAUGACCAAGGAGGCUGCUAAAGCUGCAAUGUGAUUGAUAGUCACCUGCAUCAUCAUUAGCAUCAUGACGAGAGCCACCAUUACCACCACCAGCAGCAGCAACAUUAUCAGCAUCUUCACCACCAUGACCAGAGAAGACAGAUACUGCCGCUGCCACCAACCUGGUAUUGACUCAGGAGUAUAAACACCGGAUGAGGAAUGAAAGCAGACUGCUGUUAUUAUCCCUCUCUCUCUCACCCUUUCUAUCACAAUUUGUCUCCUACACUUCCCUCCUCUACUCAAGACGCAUUGGCCAUACUGGAACCUGUGAUGAUCUUAGGAUUUAAAAAAACAUUUUCCAGUUAGCUGAAAUAGUUCUGACAUACCAGUGCUAAGUGUAUACUUUCUAUUGCUAUGAUAAAAUACCCAACCAAAGCAAGGAAAGGAAGGAACGGUUAACUUCAGCUCACAAGUCAAGGGUGCAGUCCAUCACGGUAGGGGAGUCAUGGCAGCAGGGGAGGCAGCUGGCUGCAUAGCUCGGGGAUGCUAGGAAGCUGGACUCCUGGGUGAUUGUGCAUCCUGCCAAGUUGACAGUCUAUGUUAAUCAUACUUAGAGUAAUAAACUUGAUUUGGUGGCCUUC